rfam:Exophiala oligosperma strain CBS 72588 unplaced genomic scaffold supercont1.2, whole genome shotgun sequence.
AACCCAGUGGUCUAGUAUGGUUAUGACGCAGUUGCCUACCUUGGUAGGUGUACUGAAGUGAGAGUUCGAAUCUCUCCUGGGUUG